CGCUAAAGGAGAGUCUGACGGAGCACGCCGCGUGAACGAAGAAGGCCUUCGGGUCGUAAAGUUCUGUUGUUAGGGAAGAACAAGUACCAGAGUAACUGCUGGUACCUUGACGGUACCUAACCAGAAAGCCACGGCUAACUACGUGCCAGCAGCCGCGGUAAUACGUAGGUGGCAAGCGUUGUCCGGAAUUAUUGGGCGUAAAGCGCGCGCAGGUGGUUCCUUAAGUCUGAUGUGAAAGCCCACGGCUCAACCGUGGAGGGUCAUUGGAAACUGGGGAACUUGAGUGCAGAAGAGGAAAGUGGAAUUCCAAGUGUAGCGGUGAAAUGCGUAGAGAUUUGGAGGAACACCAGUGGCGAAGGCGACUUUCUGGUCUGUAACUGACACUGAGGCGCGAAAGCGUGGGGAGCAAACAGGAUUAGAUACCCUGGUAGUCCACGCCGUAAACGAUGAGUGCUAAGUGUUAGAGGGUUUCCGCCCUUUAGUGCUGCAGCUAACGCAUUAAGCACUCCGCCUGGGGAGUACGGCCGCAAGGCUGAAACUCAAAGGAAUUGACGGA
rnacentral:rRNA from 2 species